rnacentral:rRNA from 1 species
AUCGAACGCUGGCGGCAUGCUUUACACAUGCAAGUCGAACGGUAACAGGUUAAGCUGACGAGUGGCGAACGGGUGAGUAAUGCAUCGGAACGUGCCCGGUCGUGGGGGAUAACACUUCGAAAGAAGUGCUAAUACCGCAUACGAUCUGAGGAUGAAAGCGGGGGACCGUACGGCCUCGCGCGAUCGGAGCGGCCGAUGUCAGAUUAGGUAGUUGGUGGGGUAAAGGCGCGCCAGGCCGACGAUCUGUAGCUGGUCUGAGAGGACGACCAGCCACACUGGGACUGAGACACGGCCCAGACUCCUACGGGAGGCAGCAGUGGGGAAUUUUGGACAAUGGGCGCAAGCCUGAUCCAGCAAUGCCGCGUGCAGGAAGAAGGCCUUCGGGUUGUAAACUGCUUUUGUACGGAGCGAAAAGGCUCUCUCUAAUACAGGGGGCUGAUGACGGUACCGUAAGAAUAAGCACCGGCUAACUACGUGCCAGCCGCCGCGGUAA